AAUUUUAUUUCUAUUUGAUGUAGGAAUUUUUAUACAUAUGUCUGAAGCUGGUAUUUGUCUUUUGUAAUACAUGUCUUAAGCUUGUAUUUCUCUUGUGACACAGUUAGAGGCCCCUGUAGCAAGAAUUUGUGGUUUCGACACUCCUUUUCCUUUGGUUUUUGAACCUUUCUAUAUGCCAACCAAAAAUAAGAUAUUGGAUGCAAUUAAAUCCACUGUGAAGUACUAAUGAACUUAGUCACCAUUUUUUGGUCAUCUAUAAAACCUUGAUACCAUUCAGUGAUGUGAUGCAUUAGUAAAGUGUAACACGGAAGUAGGUGGUUAUACAAAACUGUUAUAUAAAAAUAUCAACAAAAGAACAAUGGGCAUACACUAUGUAGUGCCUUCAAUUUGAAAGGAGUGAUCCCCAUCACUAAAAGUUUCCUAUUAUAAAUAGAUUUCUCUCUUUAAGUCUUUGGCCUUCA